rnacentral:rRNA from 1 species
GACGAACGCUGGCGGCGUGCCUAAUACAUGCAAGUAGAACGCUGAAGGAGGAGCUUGCUUCUCUGGAUGAGUUGCGAACGGGUGAGUAACGCGUAGGUAACCUGCCUGGUAGCGGGGGAUAACUAUUGGAAACGAUAGCUAAUACCGCAUAAGAGUAGAUGUUGCAUGACAUUUGCUUAAAAGGUGCAAUUGCAUCACUACCAGAUGGACCUGCGUUGUAUUAGCUAGUUGGUGAGGUAACGGCUCACCAAGGCAACGAUACAUAGCCGACCUGAGAGGGUGAUCGGCCACACUGGGACUGAGACACGGCCCAGACUCCUACGGGAGGCAGCAGUAGGGAAUCUUCGGCAAUGGACGGAAGUCUGACCGAGCAACGCCGCGUGAGUGAAGAAGGUUUUCGGAUCGUAAAGCUCUGUUGUAAGAGAAGAACGAGUGUGAGAGUGGAAAGUUCACACUGUGACGGUAACUUACCAGAAAGGGACGGCUAACUACGUG